GCCCAGACUCCUACGGGAGGCAGCAGUGAGGAAUAUUGGUCAAUGGGCGCGAGCCUGAACCAGCCAAGUCGCGUGAGGGAUGACGGCCCUACGGGUUGUAAACCUCUUUUGUCAGGGAGCAAUUGGCGCUACGUGUAGCGUUAUCGAGAGUACCUGAAGAAAAAGCAUCGGCUAACUCCGUGCCAGCAGCCGCGGUAAUACGGAGGAUGCGAGCGUUAUCCGGAUUUAUUGGGUUUAAAGGGUGCGUAGGCGGAAUGCCAAGUCAGCGGUAAAAUCGCGGGGCUCAACCUCGCUCCGCCGUUGAAACUGGCGUUCUUGAGUGGGCGAGAAGUAUGCGGAAUGCGUGGUGUAGCGGUGAAAUGCAUAGAUAUCACGCAGAACUCCGAUUGCGAAGGCAGCAUACCGGCGCCCAACUGACGCUGAAGCACGAAAGCGUGGGUAUCGAACAGGAUUAGAUACCCCCGUACAG
rnacentral:rRNA from 1 species